rnacentral:rRNA from 1 species
CACGUAGGGCGCAAGCGUUGUUCGGAUUCAUUGGGCGUAAAGGGUGCGUAGGCGGCGCGGUAAGUCGGGUGUGAAAUCUCGGAGCUUAACUCCGAAACUGCAUUCGAUACUGCCGUGCUUGAGGACUGGAGAGGAGACUGGAAUUUACGGUGUAGCGGUGAAAUGCGUAGAUAUCGUAAGGAAGACCAGUGGCGAAGGCGGGUCUCUGGACAGUUCCUGACGCUGAGGCACGAAGGUCAGGGGAGCAAACGGG